ACGAACGCUGGCGGCGUGCUUAACACAUGCAAGUCGAACGGAAAGGCUCCAGCUUGCUGGAGUACUCGAGUGGCGAACGGGUGAGUAACACGUGGGUAAUCUGCCCUGCACUCUGGGAUAAGCCUGGGAAACUGGGUCUAAUACUGGAUAUGACCUUUCUCCUUAUGGGGUUUGGUGGAAAGUUUUUCGGUGUAGGAUGAGCCCGCGGCCUAUCAGCUUGUUGGUGGGGUGAUGGCCUACCAAGGCGACGACGGGUAGCCGGCCUGAGAGGGUGAUCGGCCACAUUGGGACUGAGAUACGGCCCAGACUCCUACGGGAGGCAGCAGUGGGGAAUAUUGCACAAUGGGCGGAAGCCUGAUGCAGCGACGCCGCGUGAGGGAUGACGGCCUUCGGGUGGUAAACCUCUUUCAGCAGGGACGAAGCGUAAGUGACGGUACCUGCAGAAGAAGCACCGGCUAACUAUGU
rnacentral:rRNA from 1 species